CCUACGGGAGGCAGCAGUAAGGAAUAUUGGUCAAUGGGCGCAAGCCUGAACCAGCCAUGCCGCGUGCAGGAAGACGGCCCUACGGGUUGUAAACUGCUUUUGUACCGGAAUAAACCCUUUUACGUGUAAGAGGCUGAAUGUACGGUAAGAAUAAGGAUCGGCUAACUCCGUGCCAGCAGCCGCGGUAAUACGGAGGAUCCAAGCGUUAUCCGGAUUUAUUGGGUUUAAAGGGUGCGUAGGUGGCUUUUUAAGUCAGGGGUGAAAGACGGUAGCUUAACUAUCGCAGUGCCUUUGAUACUGAAGAGCUUGAAUGAACUAGAGGUAGGCGGAAUGUGACAAGUAGCGGUGAAAUGCAUAGAUAUGUCACAGAACACCAAUUGCGAAGGCAGCUUACUAUGGUUUUAUUGACACUGAGGCACGAAAGCGUGGGGAUCAAACAGGAUUAGAUACCCUGGUAGUCCACGCCCUAAACGAUGAAUACUCGAUGUUGGCGAUAUACGGUCAGCGUCUAAGCGAAAGCGUUAAGUAUUCCACCUGGGGAGUACGCCCGCAAGGGUGAAACUCAAAGAGAGUAGNGNGNGAGAGCGACGACGACGACGACGAGGGAGGAGG
rnacentral:rRNA from 1 species